rnacentral:rRNA from 1 species
UACGUAGGUGGCAAGCGUUGUUCGGAAUUAUUGGGCGUAAAGGGCGCGUAGGCGGUCUUGUAAGUCAGCUGUGAAAGCCCGGGGCUCAACCCCGGAGGGUCGGCUGAUACUGCAGGACUGGAGUACGGAAGAGGUAGCUGGAAUUCCCGGUGUAGCGGUGAAAUGCGUAGAUAUCGGGAGGAGCACCUGAGGCGAAGGCGGGCUACUGGGCCGAUACUGACGCUGAGGCGCGAAAGCCAGGGGAGCAAACGGG